AUGACCAGUAUCAGUCCAUCUGAUGCACAGCAUGUUACAACACGCUUCACUUGUCUUCACAACUCCAGGGAGACGCUGGUCCAGCCGGUCCUGAAGGCUCAGUGGGGGAACCAGGCAUUGGUAUUGCAGGCCCAAAGGGUGACCGCGGAGGACAUGGCCCUCCUGGUUAUCCUGGGGUCAAAGGGCAGGGUUAUCCUGGCCCACAGGGGGCUCCGGGAGAACAAGGAUCAAUAGGAGAACCUGGUCCUGAGGGACAAGGUUUACCAGGGCCAAAGGGAGACCGGGGCGCCACAGGACUGCCUGGGUUUCCCG
rnacentral:lncRNA from 1 species